rnacentral:rRNA from 1 species
GAUGAACGCUAGCGGGAGGCUUAACACAUGCAAGUCGAGGGGCAUCACGAGGUAGCAAUACUUUGGUGGCGACCGGCGCACGGGUGAGUAACGCGUAUGCAACCUACCCUGUACAGGGGGAUAGCCCGGAGAAAUUCGGAUUAAUACCCCAUAAUGAUAUUUUAUGGCAUCAUAAAAUAUUUAAAGCUCAGGCGGUACGGGAUGGGCAUGCGUAACAUUAGCUAGUUGGUAGGGUAAUGGCCUACCAAGGCGACGAUGUUUAGGGGUCCUGGGAGGGUGAUCCCCCACACUGGUACUGAGACACGGACCAGACUCCUACGGGAGGCAGCAGUGAGGAAUAUUGGUCAAUGGGCGCGAGCCUGAACCAGCCAUCCCGCGUGAAGGAAGACUGCCCUAUGGGUUGUAAACUUCUUUUCCAGGGGAAUAAAAUCUCGAACGAGUUCGGGACUGAAGGUACCCUGGGAAUAAGCAUCGGCUAACUCCGUGCCAGCCGCCGCGGUAACAC